rnacentral:lncRNA from 1 species
AAUGCAAGCAGCUCCAUUCCCCACGGCAACUGUGCAGAGAGGCUUGCAGGUCCAAACCACUGGUAGCAGCCCCUGGUAUAUCCAGGACAUCAGCACAUAGAACCAGUGAAAGGGUCCUCCCUCAUAGUGACGCAUGUCAUAGACUCAGAUUUAUACAAACAAAUGCUGAGCAAACCAUGAAGAGUCUCUGGUAUUUUCAACAAUAUCAUCACAGAGGAACUGUAUUGAUUUCCUUGAACUUUUCAAAUGUAGAGGAGCCUUUAGAAGGAAGCCUUGAGCAUGAGGACAGACCCCCCUCAUCCAACCACCACCUGACUCUGUGUGAACCUGGAACUGUUAGAAUGUCUGUGCUGUGAUAAAAGGUCAUCUCCCUACAAUGUUAUGAUACAGACCUCAAACCUACAAACAUGAGGAACUUCUGCCUCCAGGUUAACUGCUUACCCACUGUACAAGACACGUUACACACAGUCCAGGAGGCGGAGCUUCUGAGAUAUCUAGAAACAGCUUAGAGGCAAAAUGACAAAAUAAAGCAGCAACAACAAAUAAAACCAAUCUUCUCGAACUGGC